rnacentral:rRNA from 1 species
UACGGAGGGGGCUAGCGUUGUCCGAAGUUACUGGGCGUAAAGCGCGCGUAGGCGGGUUGGUAAGUCCGCUGUGAAAGCCCGGAGCUCAACUCCGGAGGGUCGGUGGAUACUGCCAGUCUUGAAGGUGCUAGGGGGAGAUGGAAUUCCUGGUGUAGCGGUGGAAUGCGCAGAUAUCAGGAGGAACACCGGUGGCGAAGGCGGGUCUCUGGGCCGAUACUGACGCUGAGGAGCGAAAGCGUGGGGAGCGAACAGG